GAUGAACGCUGGCGGCGUGCUUAACACAUGCCAGUCGAACGAAGCACUUUAUUUGAUUUCCUUCGGGACUGAUUAUUUUGUGACUGAGUGGCGGACGGGUGAGUAACGCGUGGGUAACCUGCCUUGUACAGGGGGAUAACAGUUGGAAACGGCUGCUAAUACCGCAUAAGCGCACAGCAUCGCAUGAUGCAGUGUGAAAAACUCCGGUGGUAUAAGAUGGACCCGCGUUGGAUUAGCUAGUUGGUGAGGUAACGGCCCACCAAGGCGACGAUCCAUAGCCGACCUGAGAGGGUGACCGGCCACAUUGGGACUGAGACACGGCCCAAACUCCUACGGGAGGCAGCAGUGGGGAAUAUUGCACAAUGGGCGAAAGCCUGAUGCAGCGACGCCGCGUGAGCGAAGAAGUAUUUCGGUAUGUAAAGCUCUAUCAACAGGGAAGAUAAUGACGGUACCUGACUAAGAAGCACCGGCUAAAUACGUG
rnacentral:rRNA from 1 species